CAAGACGUAAAAGCCCGGGUUCGCUGUUGAGAAGAAGCUAAGUAUCAACCAGCAGAGUGGCCCUGGGCGGAGUACUCGAUGGUGUCCUCGCUUUAGAAUGCAGUUUCAUCCUUUGAAUCAACCGCGUUUUCUCCUUCCGGUCUUUGUAAUUCAUCCAAUUUCAGGAGAUUCGUCAGCUUCCUAAUCUCUCGAGGGCUACGGCCACAACCCGAACCUAAAACCUUCGGAAGUCGAUCCGGACAGAACCUGGUUUUAUGUAAGAGAUACCGAGAUGCACUUGAGAUCUUUGAUAUUUUUGAGCUAGAGGACGGUUAUGAUGUUGGUAAUAGCACGUUCGACACGAAUUAAUGCGUUUUUUUGGCUUGUAAUCUGUAAGAGGGGGUGAGGAGGUUGUGUAAUUACAUGAUUGACAAUGGAUUUGAACCCGAUCAAUACAUGAGGAACAGGAUUGUACUUAUGCAUGUGAAGUGCCGGAUGAUGGUUGAUGCCUGUAGACUGUUCAAUGAAAUGCUCGAAAGGGAUGCGGCUUUGUGGAAUACCAUAGUUUCCAGGUAUGUGGACUCUGGAAAUUACGAAGAGGCGUUUGGGCUGUUCAUCAUGAUGUGGAACGAGUAUUCUAAUUGUACUUCAGAGCAAACGUCAUUGCAGAUUGUGCAGAGCCAUCGCGUUUGUGGUGACUGCGAUUCUGCGAUCAAGCUGAUUGCUAAGAUAACCAAACGUGAAAUUGUGAUCAGAGAUGCUAGCAGAUUCCAUCGUUUCAGAGACGGGAGUUGCACUUUUGGAGACUAAUGGUGAUGCUGGUAAAUCUCUGUCGCUUUCUUUUGUUUUUUCGUUUAUUUUUGUAGGAACGGGUAAUGUCUCUUCCAUUCAAUAGACAUGAUUACCUUUCUUUUUCAAGGGGUUAUAAUGAAAUGAAUCCAUGGCGUACUCGUCCGAAACUUACAUUGUGUU